rnacentral:rRNA from 1 species
AAGGAAUAUUGGUCAAUGGACGCAAGUCUGAACCAGCCAUGCCGCGUGAAGGAUGAAGGUCCUCUGGAUUGUAAACUUCUUUUAUCUGGGACGAAAACGGGAUUUUUAUCUCAAUUGACGGUACCAGAGGAAUAAGCACCGGCUAACUCCGUGCCAGCAGCCGCGGUAAUACGGAGGGUGCGAGCGUUAUCCGGAUUUACUGGGUUUAAAGGGUGCGUAGGUGGGCUUAUAAGUCAGUGGUGAAAUCUCCGAGCUUAACUUGGAAACUGCCGUUGAUACUAUAGGUCUUGAAUUAUCUGGAGGUUAGCGGAAUAUGUCAUGUGGCGGUGAAAUGCUUAGAUAUGACAUAGAACACCAAUUGCGAAGGCAGCUUACUACAUAUAAAUUGACGCUGAGGCACGAAAGCGUGGGGAUCAAACA